GACGAACGCUGGCGGCGUGCUUAACACAUGCAAGUCGAACGGAAAGGCCCUGCUUGCCGGGUACUCGAGUGGCGAACGGGUGAGUAACACGUGGGUGAUCUGCCCUGCACUUCGGGAUAAGCCUGGGAAACUGGGUCUAAUACCGGAUAGGAGCCAUUUUUAGUGUGAUGGUUGGAAAGUUUUUUCGGUGUAGGAUGAGCUCGCGGCCUAUCAGCUUGUUGGUGGGGUAAUGGCCUACCAAGGCGGCGACGGGUAGCCGGCCUGAGAGGGUGGACGGCCACAUUGGGACUGAGAUACGGCCCAGACUCCUACGGGAGGCAGCAGUGGGGAAUAUUGCACAAUGGGCGCAAGCCUGAUGCAGCGACGCCGCGUGGGGGAUGACGGCCUUCGGGUUGUAAACUCCUUUCGCUAGGGACGAAGCUUUUUGUGACGGUACCUAGAGAAGAAGCACCGGCUAACUACGUG
rnacentral:rRNA from 1 species